rnacentral:rRNA from 1 species
CUAGCUGGUCUGAGAGGAUGACCAGCCACACUGGAACUGAGACACGGUCCAGACUCCUACGGGAGGCAGCAGUGGGGAAUAUUGCACAAUGGGCGCAAGCCUGAUGCAGCCAUGCCGCGUGUAUGAAGAAGGCCUUCGGGUUGUAAAGUACUUUCAGCGGGGAGGAAGGGAGUAAAGUUAAUACCUUUGCUCAUUGACGUUACCCGCAGAAGAAGCACCGGCUAACUCCGUGCCAGCAGCCGCGGUAAUACGGAGGGUGCAAGCGUUAAUCGGAAUUACUGGGCGUAAAGCGCACGCAGGCGGUUUGUUAAGUCAGAUGUGAAAUCCCCGGGCUCAACCUGGGAACUGCAUCUGAUACUGGCAAGCUUGAGUCUCGUAGAGGGGGGUAGAAUUCCAGGUGUAGCGGUGAAAUGCGUAGAGAUCUGGAGGAAUACCGGUGGCGAAGGCGGCCCCCUGGA